CAGGUCACUCCUACGGGAGGCAGCAGUGGGGAAUUUUCCGCAAUGGGCGAAAGCCUGACGGAGCAAUCUCGCGUGAGGGAUGACGGCCUAUGGGUUGUAAACCUCUUUUUUCAGGGAGGAAUAAAAUGACGUGUACCUGAAGAAUAAGCAUCGGCUAACUCCGUGCCAGCAGCCGCGGUAAGACGGAGGAUGCAAGUGUUAUCCGGAAUCACUGGGCGUAAAGCGUCUGUAGGUGGUUUAAUAAGUCAACUGUUAAAUCUUGAGGCUCAACCUCAAAAUCGCAGUCGAAACUAUUAGGCUAGAGUAUAGUAGGGGUAAAGGGAAUUUCCAGUGGAGCGGUGAAAUGCGUAGAGAUUGGAAAGAACACCGAUGGCGAAGGCACUUUACUGGGCUAUUACUAACACUCAGAGACGAAAGCUAGGGUAGCAAAUGGGAUUAGAUACCCCAGUAGUCCUAGCCGUAAACAAUGGAUACUAGAUGUUGAACAGAUCGACCUGUGCAGUAUUAAAGCUAACGCGUUAAGUAUCCCGCCUGGGAAGUAUGCUCGCAAGAGUGAAACUCAAAGGAAUUGACG
rnacentral:rRNA from 1 species